rnacentral:tRNA from 1 species
GAGGAUAUGGUGGAAUGGUAGACACACUAGCCUUAGAAGCUAGUAUUGAAAUACAUGUGAGAGUUCAAGUCUCUCUAUCCUCA